GCCUCGGCGGAUCAGCCCGCUCCCGGUAAAACGGGACGGCCCGCCAGAGGACCCCUAAACUCUGUUUCUAUAUGUAACUUCUGAGUAAAACCAUAAAUAAAUCAAAACUUUCAACAACGGAUCUCUUGGUUCUGGCAUCGAUGAAGAACGCAGCAAAAUGCGAUAAGUAAUGUGAAUUGCAGAAUUCAGUGAAUCAUCGAAUCUUUGAACGCACAUUGCGCCCGCCAGUAUUCUGGCGGGCAUGCCUGUUCGAGCGUCAUUUCAACCCUCAAGCACAGCUUGGUGUUGGGACUCGCGUUAAUUCGCGUUCCUCAAAUUGAUUGGCGGUCACGUCGAGCUUCCAUAGCGUAGUAGUAAAACCCUCGUUACUGGUAAUCGUCGCGGCCACGCCGUUAAACCCCAACUUCUGAAUGUUGACCUCGGAUCAGGUAGGAAUACCCGCUGAACUUAAGCAUAUCAAUAAGCGGAGG
rnacentral:rRNA from 1 species